UGAGGAAUAUUGGUCAAUGGACGAGAGUCUGAACCAGCCAAGUAGCGUGUAGGAUGACGGCCCUAUGGGUUGUAAACUGCUUUUAUAAGGGAAUAAAGUGAGUCUCGUGAGACUUUUUGCAUGUACCUUAUGAAUAAGGACCGGCUAAUUCCGUGCCAGCAGCCGCGGUAAUACGGAAGGUCCGGGCGUUAUCCGGAUUUAUUGGGUUUAAAGGGAGCGUAGGCCGGAGAUUAAGCGUGUUGUGAAAUGUAGACGCUCAACGUCUGCACUGCAGCGCGAACUGGUUUCCUUGAGUACGCACAAAGUGGGCGGAAUUCGUGGUGUAGCGGUGAAAUGCUUAGAUAUCACGAAGAACUCCGAUUGCGAAGGCAGCUCACUGGAGCGCAACUGACGCUGAAGCUCGAAAGUGCGGGUAUCGAACAGG
rnacentral:rRNA from 1 species